ensembl:lncRNA
UGUCAUGUCAGCAGAAAUGACCAUUCCCAGUCUCAAUAUUUUCCAUUUUACAGCUGAAAUGGCAAAUGAGCAUGAACAAAGUUUAGCAACAGAAGACUUGCACAACAUUGGGACAAAAAGUGGACAAAUACUAAUUUUAGAGGACAACUACGGGGAACCAUAUAGUUGCAAUAGCACGCACCUGCAAAACGUGCAAAAAAGCUCAUAAGACAAGAAAAUUAAUUACAAGGAGAACAGAGAGAAGAACACGUUUGUUGAAUAGAGAAAGAAUCUAGAAACCUUAACACAUCAAGAUUGAGGCUUAAUUAGUACAGCAGAAAGUAAUUAAAAGACUAAAUGGACACUUCCUCUAGACUGGGCUCUAGCCUGUAUGGGUGAACAGAGUGCGUAAGUGCAACACAGAGUGUUGAAGUCUCAGAGAAAGUCUGCAGGAAAAGGGAAGUUAAGAACAGUUAUCUCCUUCCAAGAAACUAUAAUAAAAUCAUAGACACAAACUAUCCCAGUAGAGAGGAAUAAAGGAGAGUAGUAGGGUUUUAACAUCACUAAAUUACGAGCUCUUUACUGCUAUCAAGACAGGGAAUAAAAAGCCCAAAGAAAAUAGCAAGGUAUCAGAACAUAUGAUGAGGAGUACAAGAAUAGUACAAACAUGAAGGGGCAAAAUCAUUAUGCUCAUAGCACAAAACUAACGAGGGAUAUCAAGAAUAAUAAGAUACCAUUCUAUUAGUACAUUAGUUAGAUGAAGAAAAAUGUGGAUCUGUAAAUCAAUGGAGAGGAAGAUCAACUGACAGAUGACGCAAGUUGGCUGAAGUGCUUAACAUCCUUUUUAUGUCACCUUUCAUUCAAAAUUUCCCGUGAAGAGACAUGGAUAAUUCACAUAAUACUCAUGAAGAGGUAUAUGGUCACAGUCUUACUCCAAAACAGCAAAACAGAUUAGAGAGUACUUAGCAAAAUUAGAUGUUUUUCAAGCCAUUUGGUCCUGAUGAAUUUAAUCCCAGUAUAUCUAAAGAACUGUUUGAAACUGUCUUUGAGACUUUGUGGAAGACAGGUAAAGUCUGGACAAAUGAAUAUAGUGUCUACCAUGAAAAGCAAGAAAAAAAGGAAAGAACAAACGAGGGAAUUCUUGACCAGUCAUCUUGAGCUUAAUUUUCAGAAAAUUCUUGAACAAUGAAUCAGAACAGCUUGUGAGCACUUAACUAUAAAAGAUGAGUAGCAAUCAACAUUGAUUUGAAAACAAAUCAUGUCAACAACAACCUAAUUUCCUUCUACAACAGGAUAAGAAGCCUUGUGGAAAACAGCAAGUGUCAUGUAUCUUGACUUUAUUUUGGCCUUUUGACAGUUUUUUUGUAAUAUUCUUACAUGCAAACUCAGAGGAAAGCAAACAGUCUUAUCUUAGUAUCAUACAGAUAAAAAGCCACUUGGUUACAGAAGUCCAAC